AGUGAACGCUGGCGGUAGGCCUAACACAUGCGAGUCGAACGGCAGCACAGUAAGAGCUUGCUCUUACGGGUGGCGAGUGGCGGACGGGUGAGGAAUACAUCGGAAUCUACUUUUUCGUGGGGGAUAACGUAGGGAAACUUACGCUAAUACCGCAUACGACCUACGGGUGAAAGCAGGGGAUCUUCGGACCUUGCGCGAUUGAAUGAGCCGAUGUCGGAUUAGCUAGUUGGCGGGGUAAAGGCCCACCAAGGCGACGAUCUGUAGCUGGUCUGAGAGGAUGAUCAGCCACACUGGAACUGAGACACGGUCCAGACUCCUACGGGAGGCAGCAGUGGGGAAUAUUGGACAAUGGGCGCAAGCCUGAUCCGGCCAUACCGCGUGGGUGAAGAAGGCCUUCGGGUUGUAAAGCCCUUUUGUUGGGAAAGAAAAGCAGCAGGUUAAUACCCCGCUGUUCUGACGGUACCCAAAGAAUAAGCACCGGCUAACUUCGUG
rnacentral:rRNA from 1 species